GUUAUACUGUCUCCUUUUUCUAAUCAGUGAAACUAAUCUCCCCGUGAAGAAGCGGGGAUAACCAUAUAAGACGAGAAGACCCUAUGGAGCUUUAAACUAUACAACACCUGCUCUAACCCCCAUAAAUUUCAGAAAACCCCCAUCUACUUUUGCAGGAUGAUCGCUAGUUUUAGGUUGGGGUGACCGCGGAGUAAAAAACAACCUCCACAUUGAAAGGGGACUACCCCCUCAGCCAAGAGCCACACCUCCACGCACCAAUAAAAUGACAUUAAUUGACCCAAUAUAUUGAUCAACGAACCAAGUUACCCUAGGGAUAACAGCGCAAUCCACUUCAAGAGCCCCUAUCGACAAGUGGGUUUACGACCUCGAUGUUGGAUCAGGGUAUCCCGGUGGUGCAGCCGCUACCAAAGGU
rnacentral:rRNA from 1 species